CUACUUGGGAGGUUGAGGUGGGAGGAUCACUUUUGUCUGGGAGAUAGAGGCUGCAUUGAACUAUGAUCGUGUCACUGCACUCCAGCCUGUGUGACAGAGCAAGACUCUGUCUCAAAA